GCGCAUUCGUUCGCCUACCAAUUGACUUGCUGGUUGGCGUCGUCGUCAUCGACAUCGUUGUAUGAUUAUUUGGUCCGUCACCGCUUCAGUUGCCUAUGAGACGUCGUUACGGUCAUGUGUGUAGGCGCACCAAAAAUUCUCGUGUUCGGCAGUGAAAUAAUCAACAUAAAAAUUUGUUAAAUUUUCGCUCGCGCUAAGAAAAUAUUUACAGCAAUUCCACGCGUGUGCUUUUUUUCGGCCAAACUUUAAAUUGCUGACGCGAAUUGGCACAAAAGCAAAACAAAACGUAAAUUUCUGUUGUUGUGAGUGAGCGCGUGUAAUUCAGUGUUUUGAAAUCGGUUUUACCAAAAAAUAAAUUUUUUGUUUUCCAUAAGGUGUCGUCGAAGAAAUCGUCGGUUUUGUGUGAAAAUUAUUAUUUGUGCAAAGUGCAAGUGAAGUGCUACGCGCCAGCAGCAUGCAAAUGGUGUGCUGAAGUAGAAGAAACAACAACAAAAAUAAAAUAAAAGUUGACAACAAGUUUCCAAACGUCAAAGCGUCUGUGCUGUUUGCAAGCGUGAAUCAGCAGCAAAUUAUUGCAAAUUAAACUUCAACUUCCACGCUCAACCAAUUGCAAUAUUAAAGAACUGCAGAACUGCUUUGCUUAUUCCAAACUUUGGCUUUCAUCGCAUGAGGUCAAAUAUUUGAUGUGCUUCCCAGAAUACAGCAAACAAAACAAAUAAACAGCAGAUUACACAAAGCGAUAACCCAAAUUCAUUUGCUUUGGGAAAUUGCUGAUGAUGCUGUUGUGUAAAAUCCCAAAUUAUCAUUAAAGAAAAAUAAAAUUAAUUUACAUACUCAACGGAGAGACAGAGAAAGUACCCGAAACAGAAGAGUUCUGGGUGUAAUCUACAGCUGAGGAUUACAUAUGUAUUUGUAUAAGAUGUAGAAAUUAGUGCAGUGAAAUCAAUUCUAACGAAGGAAGUGAAACAAAUUCAGGUAAAUCAAAUAAAUCACAGUCUUUGUCAUUUUCAUUUCAUUUUCAAAGUAAGUAAAUAAAUGCCACACACAUUCACACGCACACUCACACACUUGAGAGCAACUCAAUUAUGAAUAUUUAUUUGUGCGCAUUCACAGCAGACUGCGCUUCCUGUUUUGUGCCUAAGCUAAAAAUGAAGAAAAGAAAUCAGAUGAAGACACAACAUAUAUUCACACAGAGAUAAAUUUGAUGAAAUCACAAAAAAAUCCAAUAAUAAAUUGCAUAUACGCUUAACAAGCAGAUAAACAAAAGAGAGAAAUGAAAUUUGAAUUUUUCUCACACAUGGUUGCAUAUGGCUUUGUUCAUAUAUAAAUAUAUAAAUAUACAUAUAUAUAUAUGUAUAUGUAUGUAUGUAUGUUUGUAUUUAAGGAAGCAUGUCCUUUUGUCAUAGCUUAUCCCUCAUUAUCUGCUCGGUAAGGAACAAAGCGCAUAUAAAAACGCCGACUUAAUCAACAAAUCUCAUUGUAAAGUAUCCAGAAAUGGCAUAAAAGGACGAGAGUGCCAAACAAAAGCAGGGUUGCACGAACGCAACGACACAUAUGAAAAAACAUAUUAUAGUAAUAAAUAGAAUAGUAGCCGCACAAAAGCCGGCAAAGAAAAAUGGAAGUGAAACGCACUCACAUAAAAGAAGCUGAAAAAAUAUGAACUCAGCCUACUUAGUAUCUUACUUAUGUGGUUGACCACAGCGCGCAUUUGUUUUGUUCUAACUGACUAGUGGAGUAUGCCAGAUUCUAGGAACUCAUAUGAAGCUUAAGCGUAAGCACCAGCGGCUUAAGUAUAUUUGAAUGCCAACCAACCUAGCUUUUAAAAGCAUGACACACCAAGCUACACAUAAGACUCCACUCCACUCCACAUAAGUAGAUAUGUAUUUAUGUGUGCCUCCAAUUAUGUAUUUAUGAUUGCUACAGGUCCCUUUCGGUUAGUUACUUAGGUUUUGUAUGGCGCAUUUCACUUAAUAGUGUUUAAUGCUUCACUCAGGUACUCCAGCAAUUGUGUGUAGGUGUGCUUGUGUAUGUUCAGUUGUGUGUGGCAAGAUAUGAAUAUAGAGCACUUAUUCUACUUAAAAUAUGAUGAUGCUGCGCUGUUGCUGCUGCUUUACUGAUGCUCUUAGUUUCUAUGUAGUCGAGCGGAAAAUUAAAAGACAUAAAAGCUCACACACUCAUAUGGCUUUGUGUACGUUUUUUUCUAUGAGUGUGUGUGCCAUGAAUGUAAAUGCUGCACAGUCACAAGCUCACAUGAAAAGUACCAACACAUGUAUUAUUGUUUUUGUAAAGCAGCGCUGUGUGUAUAUGGUAUGUCGUACUCAACUCGAUUAAGAGCUUUUGCUCUUUUAAUGAGGCAACCUUUUACUUGUAUAAUAAGCACUUCAUAAUAAGCUAAAUUAUUUAAUAGAGUGGUUUGUGGAAAAAUAAGUGCACUUUAAGUGGUAUAUACUCUGUGAGUGGAUUUCCACUUCUGUUUUUUUAUUAUUUUAUAAUGAGUUCACUAUAGCCUUUUUAUGGUAGUCAUAUUCUCUUUUCUCUCUUUUUUGUUUUUAAUUU